AAUAUUGGACAAUGGGUGCAACCCUGAUCCAGCCUUGCCGCGUGUGUGAAGAAGGUCUUCGGUUUGUAAAGCACUUUAUGUUGGGAGGAAGGGCUUUAGGCUAAUACCCUGAAGUUUUGACGUUACCAACAGAAUAUGCACCGGCUAACUCUGUGCCAGCAGCCGCGGUCAUACAGUGGGUGCAAGCGUUAGUCGGAAUUACUGGGCGUAAAGCGCGCGUAGUGAGUUCAGUAAGAUGGGUGUGAAAUCCCCGGGCUUAACCUGGGAACGGCUUUCAUAACUGCUGAGCUAGAGUACGGUAAAGGGUAGUGGAAUUUCCUGUGGAGCGGUGAAAUGCGUAGAUAUAGGAAGGAACACCAGUGGCGAAGGCGACUACCUGGACUGAUACUGACACUGAGGUGCGAAAGCGUGGGGAGCAAACA
rnacentral:rRNA from 1 species